rnacentral:miRNA from 1 species
AAGUGCUUCCAUGUUUGAGUGU